CACAGCAGCCCGCCUGUCCCCUGCCUCUGAAACUAUUAUUGGAAUGCCUCUGCACGCAACACACGCCUGCCUCCCAGAUUUCACAGGCCUGUGCACAGGACCGGCACACUACACUGCUCAGCCCGACAUUGCACUCGGGUGAUCACGAGGUGGUUUGUUCUAAGCAGGAACGUUUCUAAGAAAGCAGACAAGGAUAGCUGAGGCACAAAGAAUCCUGAGCUCACAGCCAUGCAGCUAGCAGGUGGUGAAACGCACACAGGCUGUCUGCCUCUAGCAUCAACUCUGUGGCCUGGGGUGAGAAUAGAUUUCCCCCGGCCCCAGGUGGAGAUUUGAAGCAGAGGAGGUGCAAGUCUUACCCAGAGUCUCUCUCCUUCUGCAAGAGAGGCCACCUCUUAAAAGUGAAGAGAGCACUGUUGCUGGGAAUGUACAAUGGAGCAGCUGCUGUGGGAAACAAUAUGGCAGUUCUUCAAGAAAUUAAACAAAGAAUUAUCAUAUGAUUCAGCAACUACACUUCUAGAUCUACUUCACACUCCAAAUAUUCACAGACCUUCCCAAGGCCUCAACAAAACAAAACUGUGAAGAAAAACCUUGACAUGAACCCCAAAUAAAACCAAUCAGCAGUAUUUUUAAUUAAAUUUUGAAACAAAGCAAAAUGGGUUCCUCCCCACAAAUCCGCCAGUAAAUAGUGCAGAAUCAGAAUUGAACCUAUGUGUUUUCUUAAAGUACUGAAUUAGAAUAAAUGAGAACACUUAAAUAUUUUCCAAAUUCAUGUUCC